rnacentral:rRNA from 1 species
AUACGUAGGUCCCAAGCGUUGCGCGAUCUCACUGGGCGUAAAGCGUCCCCAGCCGGUCCGGUAAGCGGAUUGUCAAAACCCGCGGCUCAACCGCGGUAGGGCAACCCGAACUGCCGGACUUGAGGCAAGCCCAGGCAGGCGGAAUUCCCGGUGUAGCGGUGAAAUGCGUAGAUAUCGGGAGGUACACCAAAGGGGAAGCCAGCCUGCUGGGGCUGCCCUGACGGUCACGGACGAAAGCUGGGGGAGCAAACCGGAUUAGAAACCCUAGUAGUCC